AUUGAACGCUGGCGGCAGGCCUAACACAUGCAAGUCGAACGAGUGGCGGACGGGUGAGUAAUGUCUGGGAAACUGCCCGAGGGAGGGGGAUAACUACUGGAAACGGUAGCUAAUACCGCAUACACUCGGAUGUGCCCAGAUGGGAUUAGCUCGUAGGUGGGGUAACGGAUCACCUAGGCGACGAUCCCUGGUUGGUCUGAGAGGAUGACCCGCACCACUGGAAAUGAGAGACGGGCAAGACUCCACAGGGAGGCAGCAGUGGGGAAUAUUGAACAAUGGGCGCAAGCCUGCUGCAGCCGUGCCGCGGGUAUGAAGAAGGCCGUCGGGUUGUAAAGUACUUGCAGCGAGGAGGCGUUACUCGAAGAAGAAGCACCGGCUAACUCCGUGCCAGCCGCGGUAAUUC
rnacentral:rRNA from 1 species